rnacentral:SRP_RNA from 1 species
GCUGGGCAUGGUGGCACACGCCUGUAAUCCCAGCCACUUGGGAGGCUGAGGCAGGAGAAUUGCUUGAACCCAGGAGGCAGUGGUUGCAGUGAGCUGAGAGCAUGCCACUGCACUCCAGCCUGGGUGACAGAGCAAGACUCUGUCUCAA